rnacentral:rRNA from 1 species
GAUGAACGCUGGCGGCGUGCCUAAUACAUGCAAGUCGAGCGAACAGACGAGGAGCUUGCUCCUCUGACGUUAGCGGCGGACGGGUGAGUAACACGUGGAUAACCUACCUAUAAGACUGGGAUAACUUCGGGAAACCGGAGCUAAUACCGGAUAAUAUAUUGAACCGCAUGGUUCAAUAGUGAAAGACGGUUUUGCUGUCACUUAUAGAUGGAUCCGCGCCGCAUUAGAUAGUUGUUAAGGUAACGGCUUACCAAGGCAACGAUGCGUAGCCGACCUGAGAGGGUGAUCGGCCACACUGGAACUGAGACACGGUCCAGACUCCUACGGGAGGCAGCAGUAGGGAAUCUUCCGCAAUGGGCGAAAGCCUGACGGAGCAACGCCGCGUGAGUGAUGAAGGUCUUCGGAUCGUAAAACUCUGUUAUUAGGGAAGAACAAAUGUGUAAGUAACUAUGCACGUCUUGACGGUACCUAAUCAGAAAGCCACGGCUAACUACGUG